rnacentral:rRNA from 1 species
CCUACGGUGGCAGCAGUGGGGAAUAUUGGGCAAUGGAGGCAACUCUGACCCAACACUGCCGCGUGAGUGAUGAAGGUAAUUUUAUUGUAAAGCUCUCUUCUUUGUAACGAAUAAAUGACGGUACCAAAGGAAUAAGCCCCGGCUAACUACGUGCCAGAAGCCGCGGUACUACGGAGGAUUCAAGCGUUAUCCGGAUUAAUUGGGCUUACAGGGUUCGUAGGCGGUCGGAUAAGUUAGAGGUGAAAUCCCGAGGGUAAACUUCGGAAUUGCCUCUGAUACUGUUCGGCUAGAGAGUAGUUGCGGUAGGCGGAAUGUGUGGUGUAGCGGUGAAAUGCUUAGAGAUCAUACAGAACACCGAUUGCGAAGGCAGCUUACCAAGCUACUUCUGACGUUGAGGCACGAAAGCGUGGGGAGCAAACAGGAUUAGAUACCCCUGUAGUC